ACAAAAUUCUGAUGUAACACCUCAGAGUUGUAGAGAAAUGAAAUGUUCUGUGAAGCGUCUGAGCUGGAUCUUUGUUGGAUGGAACCAUUGUUCCCACUGCUUUAUUUGCAUUGCUUUAGAAGAAACCCGCUGAGUAAAGGCCUUUUGCAGUCAUUCUUUCCUUUCUGACUUGCUUUCUGGGAGUGAAAUGAAAGCAAAUGUUUCCUUAGCACAGACUUGAUAAAGACACUGGAGAUGUCCAUCCUAGGGGUCCCACUGAUGGCUCUGAACAGGUUCUUUUUAUGCAUCACUAUGCCCUGAUCAUUUUCUUCUCCGAUGGGUAGAAAGGAUCACUGGUUUUCCUCCUAAAAUGAAUUCUUUUUUUUCUAGGAAAGCUCCUCAAAUGUUACUUUCGUAAUACUGUUUCUGUGCAAGCAGGGAUUUUAAAUGGAGGACAUAAACCAGUAACCUCCCCACACACAGUGGGCUGUUCGUUGCAAUGAUUGUGAGUCUGCUCUUCCUUGUGUUAUUGAGGUUCACAGCUGGGAUUCUCUUCUGGAUUUUCAUCUUUGGCGUGACUGGAAUUAUAGGUUAUGGCAUCUGGCAUUGUCGCUGGGAGUACGACCAUCUUAAAGGAAUACCUGGAUCUGAGCUCACUGUUUCUGGUACUGGAUUCCAGACAGACUUGAGAGUGCACCUGCAGCUGAGGCAAACAUGGUUAGCAUUUAGUAAGUGCCCUUUAAACUUGGUAUCCGUUAAGGGAUGUUCAGAAGAUUCAGUCGCUGUCUUGCUACAGUUUCUGCCUUGUUAAAUCUCCUCCUCUACAUAUGUUGCUCAUAGAAGUAAUCAGAAUUCACUUUCUUUGUAUAGUACAAAAAUCUACCUUUU